AAAACAGGAACAAAGUAAUCCACUACUGUCCUCUAACAUCUUAUAUGAGGAACCACGAGAGAAAUACCAUUGCAGAACUAUUAAAGUGAAGGUCCUUAAAGGAGAGAGCUCUUGCUAAGCCAUGUUUCUGUCUUGCAAGGCCAUGUCCAAGUCGCUGAAGAAGAUGGUGGAGGAGAGUCGGGAGAAGAACCAGCCCGAGGUGGACAUGUGCGACCGCGGCGUCUCCAACAUGCUGGACGUGCCCGGGCUCUUUACCUUGUCUCAUAUCACGCAGCUGGUUCUCAGUCACAACAAGCUUACCACUGUGCCAGCAAACAUCGCAGACCUGAGAAAUAUAGAAGUGCUCAACUUUUUCAACAACCAGAUUGAGGAGCUGCCUACACAGAUUAGCAGCCUUCAGAAGCUCAAACACCUGAAUCUUGGCAUGAACAGAUUAAACACCUUGCCAAGGGGAUUUGGCUCUUUACCAGCUCUGGAGGUUCUUGACUUGACUUACAACAACUUAAAUGAAAAUUCUCUACCUGGAAACUUCUUCUAUCUGACCACCCUGCGUGCACUCUAUCUAAGUGACAACGAUUUUGAAAUCCUGCCGCCAGAUAUUGGGAAGCUCACAAAGUUGCAGAUACUGAGUCUUAGAGACAAUGACCUGAUAUCACUGCCUAAAGAAAUCGGGGAGCUCACGCAGCUUAAAGAACUUCAUAUCCAGGGAAAUCGUCUUACUGUGCUGCCACCAGAACUAGGUAAUUUGGAUUUGACUGGUCAAAAGCAAGUCUUCAAAGCAGAGAACAAUCCUUGGGUGACACCAAUAGCCGACCAGUUCCAGCUGGGAGUGUCUCAUGUGUUUGAAUACAUUCGUUCAGAAACAUACAAAUAAACCACCUCCAACUGCAGAUAAGUUUGUUUCACAGAACAGAGCUUGAAGAAGGAGGACAAGCUAAAAAAGAAAUGUCUUUAUGGCAGACACAUGCAGGCAAACCCUGAACCUCCAAAGAAGAACAAUGACAAGUCGAAGAAGAUCAGUCGUAAGCCUCUGGCAGCCAAGAACAAAUAAGUCCCCAGCUUGUGCCUUUGUUUUUAUAUCUUUUAUAUCUCUUUUGCAUGUGCCUAUAGUAUUCCAACACAUUUCCUAUAACUUAUAUCUUAAGGAAGCAGAGACUAGAGUUAAAGGCCAUUUACUAUGUGUGCUGCUUUAGAAGAUUCUGCUUAAGGAAUACAAAAUUACACACUCUCCUAAUUAUGGUCACAUUUAUGUAGCCAUUUAAUAUAUCACUGUCAAACACAUUUUAGCUUUUCUAUUUAUAUGUACAUUAAUGUCCUCUGUUCACAUGUAUCACACCCUAUUAAUACCAGGUUUUUUGCACUUACACAAUAAUAAAUUUCAUAUAUUAUUACAUAUGAUUUUAAUAAAAGCC